rnacentral:rRNA from 1 species
CAAGGAAUUGACGGGGCCGCACAAGCGGUGGAGUAUGUGGUUUAAUUCGAUGCAACGCGAAGAACCUUACCUGGUCUUGACAUCCCGGAGACCCUUAGGAAACUAGGGGGUGCUUCCAUCUGGAAGAAUCUGGAGACAGGUGCUGCAUGGCUGUCGUCAGCUCGUGUCGUGAGAUGUUGGGUUAAGUCCCGCAACGAGCGCAACCCUUGCCUUUAGUUGCCAGCAGUUCGGCUGGGCACUCUAAAGGGACUGCCGGUGUUAAACCGGAGGAAGGUGGGGAUGACGUCAAGUCCUCAUGGCCUUUAUGACCAGGGCUACACACGUACUACAAUGGCCGAUACAAAGGGCAGCGACACUGCGAGGUGAAGCCAAUCCCGUAAAAUCGGUCUCAGUCCGGAUUGGAGUCUGCAACUCGACUCCAUGAAGUUGGAAUCGCUAGUAAUCGUGGAUCAGCAUGCCACGGUGAAUACGUUCCCGGGCCUU